rnacentral:rRNA from 1 species
AUCGUGAAACCGCGAAUGGCUCAUUACAACAGCUAUAGUUCACUGGAUAUAACCCAGUUACAUGGAUAACUGUGGUAAUUCUACAGCUAAUACACGCUUCAAAACCCUGACUUUACGGAAGGGUGCGUUAGUUAAUUCAAACCAAUCAGACUUCGGUCUGCAUCCAAGUGAAAUUGAACUAUUUAGCUGAUCGCACGGUCUAAGAACCGGCGACAUAUCCUUCAAACAUCUGCCUUAUCAACUGUCGAUGGUAGAUUAUGCGCCUACCAUGGUUGUAACGGGUAACGGAGAAUCAGGGUUUGAUUCCGGAGAGGGAGCCUGAGAAAUGGCUACCACAUCCAAGGAAGGCAGCAGGCACGCAAAUUACCCACUCCCGGCACGGGGAGGUAGUGACGAAAAAUAACAAGCUGGUCUCUAUGAGUUCCGGCAUUGUAAUGGGAACAACCCAAAUCAUUUAUCGAGGAUCUAUUGGAGGGCAAGUCUGGUGCCAGCAGCCGCGGUAAUUCCAGCUCCAAUAGCGUAUA